UUAAACAUACGACAUGAACUGAAUUAACCAGUGCGCACGACUGGCAAAAAAAUAAACUUCUUUUGACAACAAGUUUCUAAUUAAAUCAUGGCUACGCCUGGGCAGCGCUAUUAUGAGAGUGAAAGUGGACGUGCUGCUACUCCCCUCAUUCCCAACAUGUAUCAAGUACCUGCAUUGAGUAAUGCAAGAGUGAGAUGACACAUCUCAGCAAGUAAAAUAAUAUCAAACUGUUUAACCACAUAAGAAUAUUGUUUUACCACCACUUGAUUUCACAACCUUCUUAUUACAAAGGUGCAGCACGUAUACAACGUACAACACUCCUAGCUACCACACCUCGCAGGUAGAAACCACAAUAGUAACAUAGUAAUGUCACUCUUCAUAUAUAUACCUCAUGAGUGCAAUAUCUGCAAAUGCAAGGAUGACUUCUGCCUUCAUACCUCUAAGGAUAUGAAGCCGCAUCGUACCCCUCCUCGGGCAACGUACGAUGCUAAAAAUGUACCGGUACAGUCGGACCAUAAGAUCACGACAUAACUUCAGAAUGCAAGAUGGAUGAUGCAAUGUGCAUGACAUGCCUACAACACUUCAUAUAACGUGAUUCAAAAAAAAUACUUCAACUCCAUCCAUGAUGGGAAUCAACCACAUAUAUCAUUACCAAAUCAUGAUCAUCCACAAUAUUAGACAAUUGAGAAUUAAUACUUUCGAACAAAUAAACUUCAUCAUAGAAUUCAAUGAUUAACAUAUUUAAAACUUAUGCAUACUCAAUGACAGGGAAUAGGAUGCAAACCAAAUGGUAGCAACCACAACUGUAUUUACUUGCCUUUACCGGAAGUUUGGGCAAAUCCCUAAGUACGAUCCGGAAGUCCACCACCUGUUUUUGACACACAACUUAGUGCACCAAUUUCACAUAACCAGGCUCAUAAACGACGCCGCACCUACGCACAAACUCAAACCCCGCCGCGGGUUACAUCUCUCCCCACACCCACCAAACUGCAGCGGCGCUGAUUAAUAAUUUCAUAACUUCAAAAUUAUGACAGCAUUGGUAACAAACAAAAACUCCAGAGGCAUCUACAUAAAAUUCCCCACAAGUUUUGUAUACAAUUUAUAAUUAAAUUCCAACAUCUAAUUAGCCCAAAACAGUUCACAAGAUGAACCCUGUAAUCUGUUUUCUCCUCUUUUGGACAGCGACAUACCCGGAUUCAAACAGCGAUAUCUUUUAAAAUAUAAUUCCAAUUCAAGCGCAUAAGUACUCAUUGGAAAGAUAAGACAAAGCCAUACAUGAUUAUCAUACUGGUUAGCACUAAUUAACCACGAAAAAUUCCCAGAAAUUACUAAUACUACUGCUGUUCACCCACCUGAAAAAUCUGUUUUUUUUUACAGCAACAUACCCGGAUUCAAACAGCGAUAUCUUUUAAAAUAUAAUUCCAAAUCAAGCACAUAAGUACUCAUUGGAAAGAUAAGACAAAGCCCUACAUGAUUAUAAUACUGGUUAAUACUAAUUACCCACGAAAAAUUCCCAGAAACUGCUAAUACUACUGCUGUUCACCCACCUGAAAAAUCUGUUUUUUUGGACAGCAACAUACCCGGAUUCAAACAACGAUAUCUCCUAAAUUAUAACUCCGAAUCGAGCGCAUAAGUACUCGUUGGAAAGGUAUGACAAAGCUCUACAUGAUUAUCCCACUGAUUCCCACUAAUUACCCAACGAAAAUUCCCAGAAAUCCCUAGAACUACUGCUGUUCACCCACUCACAAAAUUCCUGGACAGCACCUCUACCGAUUCGCAAAGAUAAACACAUAAUCCAAUUGAUUGCAGCACAAAAACAACAAAAGUUAAUCACAAAUUCACCUUAGGUUCUUCCCUUCCUCCUUCCUUCUUCCUCCCUCCAAACUCCAAUUGAGAUCGCAGCCACACGACGGAGAACCUCACGGGAGGGCUGCACCUUGGAGGAGGGGGAGAAAUGGGGGGGGGGCGGCUAGGGUUUUGGGUGGUGAGGGCUGCAAAGGUUUGAGGAGGAAGAAGAUGGGAGAGGGGGG
rnacentral:lncRNA from 1 species